UACGUAGGGUGCGAGCGUUGUCCGGAAUUACUGGGCGUAAAGAGCUCGUAGGUGGUUUGUCGCGUUGUUCGUGAAAACUCACAGCUCAACUGUGGGCGUGCGGGUGAUACGGGCAGACUGGAGUACUGCAGGGGAGACUGGAAUUCCUGGUGUAGCGGUGGAAUGCGCAGAUAUCAGGAGGAACACCGGUGGCGAAGGCGGGUCUCUGGGCAGUAACUGACGCUGAGGAGCGAAAGCGUGGGGAGCGAACAGG
rnacentral:rRNA from 1 species